UACGAAGGGGGCUAGCGUUGCUCGGAAUCACUGGGCGUAAAGCGCACGUAGGCGGAUCUUUAAGUCAGGGGUGAAAUCCUGGAGCUCAACUCCAGAACUGCCUUUGAUACUGAGGAUCUUGAGUCCGGGAGAGGUGAGUGGAACUCCGAGUGUAGAGGUGAAAUUCGUAGAUAUUCGGAAGAACACCAGUGGCGAAGGCGGAUCUCUGGACAAAUCCUGACGCUGAGGCGCGAAGGCUAGGGGAGCAAACGGGG
rnacentral:rRNA from 1 species